CCGCGGGGAAGGGGCGGUUCGCCGCCGUGCCGGUACCCUCGGGAGCUACAGGUGUCCGCAACCCGCGGGGUCCGCUCCCCGCGGGAUCUGCUCCCCACGGGGUCCGGCCGCCGGUCCCGUCCCGCCGCCUCCGCGUGGCUUCUGCGGCGACUUUGGCCAGGCACAAAUAACUACAAAUGCCCGUGCGGAGGGGUGCCGAUACGCACCGUCUGAUCAGCUCGUGUGAAAGCAUAGCCGGAAAAAUCUCCUAAAUCAUCACAGCCAUAAAUAAGUCAGUUAAAAUGUAUGGUCUGUAGAAAGAGGAAUUAUUUAAACAUUUCUACUUAGCCAGAAUUUCCAUCAACUUCUCUGCGUUUUUCUUUCAGGAUGUAUUUAGUGAUUAUAAAGCAUUUCAGCUAGGACAGCAUUCUUCGGCUCUGCAUUUUGAUUAUCAAGAGCAGAAUGAAUGUAAGAGUGGCUUUUCAAGGACAGUAAUUAUUUUAACGUAACUGACAGCAUUAGCCUACUUCAGCCACCCAAGUGUAAACUAUAAUGCUUUUAAACGUGGAUUUUAUUUAGAAGCUCUGUUUAAACUAUAAAGUGAAGAUUUAGAAUAUAUGUUGAUUUUGUCCGUGAAUUUCUACUUUUCCUCUCAUCUUUGAAAGAAGAUCUUACAAAACAUAAUAUUGAGGGUAGUAAGAUGAUGUAGACCUGAAUACUUGAUACUAUCAUUGUUAGUAAGAAGAGACCUAUUUUCAAGUAAAGUGAAAAUAAUUUCUAGUUUUUUGUACAAAUAGCAAAUUUAGAAUAAUGACAGACAUUUCUCUAUAAUGUGUCCACUUUAGUCUGAAAUACAGUGAAACAGAUAAUUAAUAACUUUACAUACUUUGAGAAGAAAUCUUAAUAGGUAUUUUGAGUGCUGGAUCUAACAACUGUUACUCUGUAUCAUUUUAUAGACACUUAGAAAAGGUACUCCUUACCUGCUUGAUAAAUAGUUCUAUAAUAUUAAUAUUAUAGCUAAAGUAUUCAUAAAAACAGUUAGUAUCUGUUAGCAAUUCUUGCUGUCCAGAAAGUGAAGGAGGAUGUAUUGCAAUUGGGCUAUAAUGUUCUCUUUUGAUUAAUCUGAAAACUACCCACUCUAGAAGCAAUGUCUCAGUUGAUUGGGCAUAUCUUACAAAGAUACUUUACUUACAAAUUGAAUCUUGGAAGGCUGUGGUUCCAGAGUCGGGGUUUUGGGGGCGAGAUGAGCUUAUGUUUUAUCCAACUGGCCCACAAAGUCCCGCUUUUGGUGGUCACUUUGUUCUGCAAAAGAAAACAGCACAUUAUGGCUCUUACAUUGGACAGUAAACUUAGUAGUAAACUACUGCUGCAGGCUAUUAUACACUUUAAAUAAAUAAUCAUGUUCUAACUUUAAUGUUGUCUUCAGCAAUAAAAUGUGGAUAGAAAAUACAAUAAUUUUGAAAGUUAAACAUAAAAGUUUUCUAACUGUUGGUGGUGUUUUUCUCUUAAAAAGCCAGCAAAAGCUGAAGAAAAAGUCACCUUUCAAAGGGUGGUACUGAAAUAUUGGUGAAUUGGGAGAAAAGAUGGUCUCAAGAAAAGAGAGGCUUUCUAAACCUUGAAAAAUCUUUUAAACGCUGGUGGCAUUUGUAUUGUCAAUCCCUGCCUCAUUUUUUUUUUUUGCUCACGAUGUUAUAAUCAGUUAUAAUCAGUUAUAAUGUAUCUCUUGAACAAGCUGCUGCUUCAUGUGUGUCUGUGUGUGUCUACCUGUGUACAGUCUGUAUCUAUGAUUCAAUUUAAAGACUGCUAAUUUUUGAACUGGUAAAAGUUGUGGAAUAUAUUAUUGGGAGUAAGGCAGUGUAAACCUAAGCUUGGUAGAGCUGUUUAAGUUCACGUUAUUUGCAUUUUGGUAUCAAUAUACUAAAGAAUUUAAGUAUUAUAUUUACUUAAAAGUUACACAGCUGUACUUUCCUCAUGUGAUUCUUGAAAUUUUUGAAAAUGCUGGUAGAAGCACUGAACUUUCUCGUGGUUCCAGAUAUACUGCACAGAUAUUUAACACUGAUGAACACAUGAUACACAAUGUAACUUAUACAAUGUUUCACAUAUACAGCAAAUUCACACAACAUACAUGCAGGAGCAUCCUCUCAUUUGGUGUAAAUGUGUCUGUCAUAGUUUUGACAUUUAAUGCCAGCUAAUAACCUGUGUAAGCUACACAUAAACAUCCAGACAUUCACACUGUGGUCACAUUGUCAUUACAGUCCAGUUAAUUUUAAGUGUUGACCUACACAGACUGAAUCAAUUUGAGUAUUUCAAAAAGGCCUGGAAAUUCAGCUGAAAUGAGACUGACACACUGUUAAAGCAAACUUGUUGGCAUGUGAUUUAUCAUAUGACUAGAUGCAGGAUCUGUACAUUUAUGCAAAUGAAUAUCAAGAUGAAUUAUCAAGAUUUUUCUAUAGAAUUCUCACAUUUUACAUUUUAUAGCAAUAUAAUUGCAACACAAGUGAAAUAGGAUGUAUCCAAGCCUCGGUGCAACAAAUUCCUCACUUGUUUAAGACUGAAAUCUGAUUUGGAGGAGCUUAGGUCAGAACUGUGGUGCUGAUAUGCUUUUUAGCUACUAUUUUCCAUGAAAUAAUACUGUUCAGAAGCAGCAUUUAUGAAAGGUUAAAUUUUAAUAAGCCAAUUAAUUUAAAAAUUUAACCAUAGAAAUUUUUUUAUUUUUGAAUUUUACUAGAGUAUAUUAGUACUUAGUUUGUUAAUACAUUCCAGACCUGUCCAAUCUUCCUAGUUGUCAGAUUUGGAUUGGUUUAAUUCCUGUGGUCUUUUCUCUAGUAUUCUGAGAAUGCAAGAGCAGAGAAUCAGACAUAAGAAAGUGAAUCAGUGUGAGGAUCUUGCUUUAAGGGAAAAGAGAAACACUUAUAUCCAAACAGCAGCGAAGAUCAGCCCUGCACUGCUGAAAUACCACAGUUGCUUCUUACCAACUGUUACUUUAAAGCUCUUAAAUUAAAACAUAAUUUUGUAGAGCUACUUCCAGUAAGAUGUGCUUUAUGUAUCACACUUUGUUAAUCAGCUACUUUUAGAUUAUUUUUUAAAAUAGAUUCUAUGUGGCUCUCUACUUAGGAUAUAUAAAAUCCACUUGCAUUGCUUUUAGCAUCAAUAACCUAGCUAUAGAAUUAAUACACUAUUUAAAUGAUUAAUGAGCAGUGUUAAAGAACACAGUUACGCUUCUGUAGGCCUUCCUCAUACAAUAUUUUUUUCCCAUCAAUAAGCUUACAGAAAGAGCUCCUGUUUGUCUCUGGUGGGCAGUAGAACAGACAAUUUGCUGCUGCUAUAGAUAGCAUGCAUAUAUUUUAAACUUUAAAUGUAUGUUCAUUUUGUAUGUGUUACUUAAAUUAAUGAUGAUUAGACAAAACAGUGAUAGAUUUCCUAAACAUCUGUGUUAUAAAAAUUUGAUCUCUUUCCCUUGCACUGGUUUUCCCACCAGGUUUGCGUGCAGCUUCGGGUGCUGGCCUCUGAGCUGAGAGUCCUGAAGUGCACUGUGUAUCCAGAGCAUUAAUAAUUAAAUACCUGGGAUCAGUCUGUCUUGCUAUUUGAUAUGAAAAGAGAAAUUUACAGAAGAUAAAAAGUAGAUGGUAUGUUUGUAAUAAAAUUAAUUUUUCUUCAGAUAAAAAUUGUCAUUAAUUAUUGAAAAAAUAAUAUUUGGAAAUAUCAACCUCAAUUAUUUAUUGCAUUUAUCAUUUAUAAAGUUGAAAGUCCUACUAGCUAUCUUUCUAUUUAGAAUAAAUUUAAAACUACAUUUUUAGAAUGACUUUUCUUCAUUUUUAAGCAAACCUUUAAAAAACCAGCUUACAUACACACUGAAUCAGCAGAGGAUUUCCAAAUGGCCUAAUCUGUUUACUUUCAAAAUUUUAUUGAAAGCAGUGAAAAGAUCAGGAUUUCCAGCAGAAUCCUGUGGCAUGGUUUGGAGAUUGGUCUGGGGCCUGCAUUUUCUGAAGCAAGGCUUCAACCUUUGACACCUCCUGACUGUGUUGCAACAGAAAAGUUUUGUGACUCCCCUCUGAUCCAGGCACAGGAGAGAGAAGUAACAAUCCCAAGUUUGGAAAAUCACAGCCUGGAACAACUAACAAUUUUGCCUCACUAAAGGCUACAGAAUCAGUUGUCCUUUCCUAGAAAGCUAUCCAGAGUUUUUUCAAGGGCAAGAACACAGACACCCAAGGUCUGAUUUUUAAACUCUGCCUUGUUCUUUGCUCCUUGUUGCAGUGUCACACACCAGCACUGCUUCCCUGUGGAAAACCUGGACCUCAUGCCACAAGGAAAGCCUAUGCAAACACAAACCGGUACAUUCAGGCAUAUUUUCUAAGGACAUCACUCAAAAGAUCAUUUUACCUGCCUUGGAAAUUGUAUUUAGAAGCCUAUGAAGCAAAAACAAAACAAAGAAGUUGUGAAUUUUUUUAAGUGUGUUUUUUUAAAUGGGUUUAAAAGAUUAGGGGGAAAACACUGCUAUCACCUGGAGCUGUGCCCAUUGUGGAAGACAUGGUAGAAAAGUGGUUCAGACCAUGUGGCUUGAGCCUAUGAAGCUUCUGGUGAAAUCAAUGAAUUUAAAACAUCAUUUGCCCACUUCACAGUGCACAUCAGUUAAUAACUACACUAAUCCCUUGCUGCAAUGCUAUAUGCUGUUCUCAGUUAAACUGUGCAAACAUGUAGGGAAUUUGUAAAGGUGUAAGCAUGGAAAAAAGGAAUAAAGAGUUAGGAGGUUUUGCCUGUUGUUAAAAUGCCCAAAUAGUUCUGGUUAUAGGGUUUGGGGGCAAGGACAAUAAUUCUGUAUCCAAGAGUGAAUGGAUAGGGCUUAUUCAGCUUGGGAUUUUUUUUCAGGACCUUUCUUACAACACCUAGAGAGUAAAUACACCAACAGAAAUAAAGCCCCACACAAUACUGAGGUAACUGGCUUUGUGAGGUAGCUGAUGGGGGACUAUGUUAUGUUCCAGAAGGUUACCCCUGAUCUCUGUCUCUCUGUUGAAUAUAAGGCUCUUUAAUGACCACGUUUUUUAAUACUGGAAUCAAAAUUCUCUACGGACAGGCUCCAGAGUUUUGGGGUUUUUUCCUGUUUGGAGCAUACCUGCUUCUGGCUGAGCUAAAAAGUAAAAAAAUUGUGUCCUGUCUGAUUUCCUAGUAUGCCAAAUACUUACAUUGUUGAUAUAUAUGAAAAACUUUUAAACAAAACUAUUUUGAUCUUUUCAGUUAAUACUGCUAAUUUUAAUUUAGCUGUUAAUGGGGGACACUACAAUUCAACAAUAUAAAAUAACAUUAGUGCAUUUUUGCUAUUUGAAGUAUCUCAGCUUCAGUCAGACAGUUCAAAUCCUUUUACUGCAAUCAUGGCCUUCCUAUACAAAUCAAUAUAGAAUAGUAUCUAGACACUAGUUUUUUAAGUAAAGCUUUUCAUUUGUAGCUUAGGACAAGGAUUAAAACACACACACCCACCAAAAAAUAUAAAAUGUGUCAUCUACAACAAGGCAUGUAUAAAGGAUUGUAGGACAAAGUGAGAAAAAUAAUUUCAGGAUGUUUCAGGACUGGCCAUAUGCAUCAGGAAAAAUAAGUGAAUGCAUUAAUUGUACUGAAAGGACAUUUCUAGUUGUUACACAUUGCUGCUGUUAAAAAUUUCUGGUUUAUGGUCAGAAAAAUCUUGAUUUUAGCUUUGAUGAUGCUGUUGUUUGUAUUAAAGCUUUCUUUUGUAAUCAAAGGCCUAUUUCAAAUUACACAAAGAACACACACACCUCUGUCAGUAGGUACUUGGAUGCUGCUGUAAGUCAGAAGUACCUCUACUGAAUUCCCUGGAUCUACAUCCAUAAAAAAUGCAAGUGAGAUCAUGUUAAAAUUUCUGGAACCUGAGAAAAUAAUUUAGUUAAUUUUUCAUAUUUUAACAUGAACAAAGGGCAAAUGUAUUGCACAAGAAAUACUAUUAAAUUACAUGAGAAAUUGAAGAUUACUUUUUUCCAACAAUACUAUGGUAUUUUAUGCUUUGUGUUACAAGAAUCUGUGAAGAAUAUGCCUGUUAGGUGCUAUUCAGUGUGGAUUAUUUUAAAAUAGUUACUUUUUAUUAGGCAUGCCAAUUGAAUGGGCAUAACUUAAAGUUCAAAUAUGCUACCUGUUUUACUAAGGAUAUUUAUAAAUAUGGAUAAUUUGGCUUAUUAAAUUUGGAUUCCACUUUGUAUUUCUAUUCUGACUGUCCUUCUAUAUAUAUGGAAAUACUGUAUGAAUAUACUGUAUAUAUGGAAAAUUGCCCAGACAGUUCACUGGAAAAUAUUUUAAAAUUCUUUAAAAUGAAAGAUGUUCUAUAAUUCUAUUAUGUAUAAUUUUCUUCUAUAAACUAAUGUUCAUUCUGCCACUGAAGUAUCCUUAAAAAUGAGAAAUGCAGGUCAACAGUUAAUGAUGAUUAUCCUGGGGUUUUGUUUUGUUUUUCUGUUGGAGAUCUGAAAGAAGAAAAAUUAUGUUGAGUUGGCUGGGCUUCAUGUAAAAUGUUUUUCACUUCCCGACAAGAGUAUUUCUAAGGUAGCUGCCUCAAACUCCACUUUAUUGCGUGGACAGAAACAUUUUAUACAUCCAGAGCUAAUUGAAUUAGAGGAUCCUUGAAAAACUACUAUUUUCCUAUCCAGUGGAUUAACAGAAAAUGAUGAAAUCCUGAUGUAUUAUUGGAAAGUUGUUCUAACUUAAAAAUAUUUUCUUUAUAGUUUCAUUCUUGAUGUUCCACAGCAUUCACCACUUCCUGCAUGGCUUUUCACCGCAGGGAAAAUGAGGGACUUUUGGGGGCAGAUGUGUUUCCAUUACACUAUCAUAAUGCCCCUAAAAAUCCUUAUUGCUCUUGCAGUAUUCUUCCGUAUUGCUGGGCCUGGGUGAGAACUUCUUGAAGACCUAUCUUAUAAAUACAGCUUUUCUCUAAAAACAUUUUUAAAACACCACUGAGUUUUAUUUUGUUUGUCUUAUAUUAUUUUUAGUUGUGUUUACUGUUGCUUAAAAUAUAAAUGGCAAGAUACGCAACCACCUGUUGGUAAAUAAAUGUCAUAAGUCAUAAAUCCAAGGGACAUGCUGAUAACUGCAUGGGAUUAUGAAGAGGGAUCUGUUUUGGCUUAAGAAUGAGAGCUUCAUUUUUUUGGUACAACUGACUUGUUUUUCACAUAAGAAUUUAGCAUUUAUGUCUCUGAAAAUAUGACAGAUGUUUUGCAAACUAACUUGAAUGACUGAUGUAAGUGAGCCUCACUUAGAAUUUCUACUGCUUCUGGAAACACUCAUCAGGCCAUUUAUCAAAUGCAUAGAUCUGUCCAGUACGUUUAUUUAAAUUAAAUGCACCAAAAUAUUCAAAUCAUUUUUUUAUACAGUCUCACAAUAAAAUUAUGAUUAAACGUGAAGAAGACAUUGUGGGUUGUCUUCUAUUCUUAAUUCUAUGCUUACUCAACUCAAAAGCUCUUUUUGUGGCCGUACCUCUUGCUGAGGCUUCUGAGGAAGGCACAAUCCAUUGGGAAUGCAGUCAUGCUCUCUGGCUCCUCCCAUGAAUUAAGAGAUGGCCACGGUUCUCCCAGGCACGGCUUACUUCUAGGUCAGUCUUCCAGUUCUGGAAGGAGAAGGCAGAACAUACACAUGUAAACAUAGUUUGUUGUCUGGUCUUGCAGAGCAAUACAUCAUCAGUUUGAUAUGCACAGCGCUGGUAACAUUUAUUUCAGUAGCAGAGUGUGGGGCACACACAGUACUGUCACUGCUUUGUGUUAAAUGUACUCUUGACUUUACUGAAUCACUUAACAGAAAUUAUAGAUAGUGUGGCGUGGUCCCUCUGACAGUGUCUGCUAAUAUCUGUAAAUGCCCUUCAAAAUAUUUGGUGACAUAGGAAAGAAACUAACUGGGUGGAUUCACCAGACCACUUUAAUAUAAAAGUUUAAUCUCCAGGGAGAUGCUCUUCUUCAUUCUGCUGUAGGAAUGUGUCUCAUUUUUCACGCAGCAAAAUCUUACAGGUCAAGUCACGUACAGGUCACAAAGCAGGCUUGCUGAUAUGACUGAGGCUCAGAACUGCUGCUGCCCAGAGAAAUACUACAGUAACAAGAAAAUUCCUUUCUAGAAGAACAGACUGAGCAGUGUUGAACAAUUUUAUAUUCACAGGUCAAAAUAUGCUGGAAUAUGUCCUUCAACAUAAAACACUGCAAGAUGCAACAGCAUUUCAAAUUAAUGUAUAGGCAGAGAAUAGAAAACACAGUCAUUACAUUAAUUUGAAAUUUUCAUAUCAAUAUUUCAGUGAUCCUGUUUGGACUACUGAUCACAAGAUGAUCCCUAGUACCUUCUGACAUAAAUGGAAAGUAUAACACAGACUGUCUUGAGGCUUAUCCAGCCUUUAUAAUAACAGUUAUUUACAAGGUAUGAAACUAAUUGAACUAUUAAUAUAAGUCAUAGAAGUUUUUUUGCAUGCUUUUACUCUAAACAUGCCAAGGUGUAUGUUCAGCAUUCUGUUUAUUUCCAAGUGACACUCCUAGGUAAAGACUCUGCAUCUAAUUGAAAAUGUUUUUAAAAAAAGCACGUAACAGCAAAUAUUCUGUGGAGUUCUACAGUAUUAAGGACCAAUGAAGGGACCGCUGCCUGAGCUACAAAUUCUAUCACCUUUACACAGAAGACUUAUUAUGAACAGAGUGAUUUUUGUAAAAGUCUUUUGGAGGCUAUGCUAGUCACAAUCCAAUGUAAAGAAUACUGUAAUAGAUUUGAGCAUUAAAACUGAACUAAUUUUCUAUUUUUUCCUAUGUUGCCAUGUAAUCUUACACAUAAUCUUUCAAGGAUAUCCUUUUUUUUUUUUCCCUAGCAUAUGCAAUCAUUCAUAUAAUUUCUUGCAUGAAUAACUUGUUGAUUGAACAGCUGAUUAUUGCAUAUAUACCUAUUUAUAUACACAUAGGUUGUUGGAAAAGUUAGAUUCUUUCUGAAUGUGUGCCCUGUAAAUUUGUAAAAAUGUAUUAUCAUAUGACACUACUUUCAAGAGAAAUAUAUGCUUAAAGCAAGUAAUCCUGACAUUAAAUUCAAGAAUAGGAUCAAAACAAGUAACAUGAUAUUCCAGUCCCUUUUACAUUUAAUAGGAAUCACCUGGCAUAUAAUUGUCAUUUUGUUUUAUACAUUUUUAUCAUUGAAGAAUAAGCAUUAGAAAAUGAGAGUCAAGCACAUGGUUUGAGAUGUGUACUUAAACUUCUGAAUUCAAAUACUUGCUUCAAAUUGUUUAUUUAAAGUAUUUAAAUCAUUUUGGUAUGAAAUCAUAUGUCACAAAAAUCUUUGGAUCCAAUAUAGCCUCAAAGGAAGGACUGCAAAACUCAUCUGUAAAAUUGUCCACUGCAGCUAACAGCACAUUGGGAAUAAGCUGUGAGUAGGUUUCAGUACCAAACAUUUUGUAAAAGAUAAUAUUUUUCUCUGUUUGGUUUCUUAAAUAUUAGCAAAGCACAGAUUUCUAUUAGCCUCUUCUUAGGGAUUUUGAUUUCUUUAAAUUAUAGGGCCAAUAGACAUCAACAGGAACAAACAAAUUACUCUAAAACUUAGAACAGUAGCAAGUAGGUAAUUUUUCAAGUAGAAUUUCCACAGUGGAAAAGAUAUUAGGUAUUUGCUAUGUGCCAAGAAAUGAGUAAUAUGAGAAUACUUUGAUUCUUUUACAAAAUGGAAGAGCAUUAACAGCAUUUUAGUUUUUUAUUAUAUAUAAAAUUCUUUAUUACCAGCAGUCUCAUAAUAGAUAAACACAAAUAGAAGAAAGGAUGUGCAGUUAUUAAAUAGGCUGAAUAAGAGACACUCAUUUAUGUAUUGAAUAAGCCCGUUUCUAUCUCAAGUUUUGAACUCUACCUCAGCUGUAUGUACACUAUUUAAAAUGUGAUCCAGAGUACAGAACUCGGCUGAUCCAUUUUAAUAGUGUUUAUAUAUUUAUUUGCUACCUUAUUUCACUUCCACUGUGUUAGAUCCAGUUUGUUACUGAACUAAGAGAGUGUCAGUUCCACUCCAGCCCAUUCUGAGGGGUCCCUGUGCAGCUCCUGUGCUGUCACCUGUGGGAAGGUGACUCUGAGCACAGGCAGCAGCUCCAGGCUGUGGCACAAGGAGGCUGCUCAGAAAAGCUCAGAUAAAGCCACCUAAUUCCACAGUGGGCUAGACAAAAAGGUGGGAUGAUGAUUAAUUUAUUCAGUAGAUAGACUUAAUGGGUGAGAUUACCCAAUAAAUAAUUGACUGAGAAACUGGAAUUCUUAACCAAAAUUACUUUUUUGUUGACAAAUGGGGCUUGGGUUAUUUUUUUUUUAAGGAAAAGCCAUUUCAAAAUUUUCAGUACUUUUCCAAUGACAGACUGUAUUUUGUAUAUUCCUUUAAAAACAAAAUCUACAGCCUUGUUGUGACUGCUGUCUGAGGCUUUUGUAGAUCUCAGUUGUGAGAACAGUGCAAGCACCAAACAAGAUUGCAGCAGGUUAAUUUUGAUUUAGAGGAAGCAAUAAGAUAUUCCUAUAUGAAGCCAGGGAAUCUGUGCUAGUAGUUUUUGGAGUGCUGAACUAAUCCAUAACAAAAUUAUACCAUGACUGUAGUUGGCAAUAUGGAGAACUGAGUGAGCCCACAAGAUCCCCUGACUGUAGUCCGAAUCAAACAUAGACUUUGAGAUAUAAUCUGGGUUUGUACUAGAUUUAGUAUUUUGAUAAUACAUAUAAAAUCAUCUUAUCUUAUAGAUUUAUUCUAACUUGUACCAGAAUGUCACAAUUUUAUUAAGACUCUGGGUGUGUCUAAAACCAAAAAGGCAACAAAUCCCUUCUGAGAACAUAUCUGAAAUGAAGACUCUAGAGUUCUGGUUCCAGUCUGAGCAUCAGGAGGUGCAUGUUGCAGCAGGAGGUUCUGGAUUCAAGGUCUAGGCCCUGAUUUUCCCUCUGGCCAGUGACAGGGAGGUGCCAAAUACCCUGACCAGGUGAGGCCAGCGGUGCAUGUGCCUGCACUUCACCUGUCAGAGGGAGCAAUACAGCUGCCACCUGAUUCCAGAACGUGUUUUGAUCUGGAAUAGUCAGCUCUGGUCUUAAACACUGUAUCUUUCUGUACCAGCUCCAGUCCUAUCUCCUCCUUUCCAGAUUAUCCAGUUAAUAAACAGUAAGUUCCAAGAAGUCAAAAAACCCACCCAAAACCAGAGGUAACUCCUCCUGUCAGGAAGUAAAGAUGGAGCCGCAGCUGCAAUUUCCUGAUAACACCCCUUGCAAACCCGGAGAGGGUUGUGUGAGUGGAAAAAUGACAGCAAUUAGGCAGCUCAAGCCUCUGGAUUUUCGUUUAAAGCAGGACCCGGCUGUGCCUAGUGUGCAGGCAGUGUCCCAAAGGCCACCUCUGCCAGCUGUCACAGCACAGGGGCCCAGCUGGACCUGGGGGACCGCAGUCCCUUCUGCAGGGCCACCCUGUGCCUCUGUCCUUUGCACAGCAAGCACAGCACACUGCACUUUGUUAUUGCUAGUCUAUGGUUUCACUGACUUUUUCUCAGAUGUCACCCACAAGAUAGCAAGAGAUGGUGAACUGCUGGAUCUUGAGUUUCAUCUCACCCAACUCCCAAAGAGAAUUUCCUUCAUCACUGUCAAUAGUGGAACUGAAAAACUGCCCGCAACUGUGUUGACAAAAAAAACAGUUAUGCUUUAAUGACACAGUUUCAACUGAUUUCACUAGAAGCUAAUAUGAGCAGAGAAUUAUUUAUUAUAUGUACCCUUGAACAGCAAAUCCACAGAGUAUAUUAAAAUUCCUGUAAUAGCAAAUUUAUCUCACUGCACAAAAAAAAAUUUAACUUUUCUAAUGAAGCACGAUAUUGGGUGGUAUUGACAUUAUUAUAUAUUUUCAUCUUUUUAUGGAGAGCAGAAAAAUGUAUUUUCCUAUUCUGCCUACAGAACACUUGAAAAUAACUAAAUAUUUUAUGCUAAGGCACCAACCUAUGGCAAUAUUAGAGCAGAAACAGGGAGUUUUAAACAUAUUUGGGAGAUGGGGACUUCAUUUCUGUUCUGUGUGAUGAUUCUGCAUCUCCCAGUCCUGAUGUACGUGUUUAACACUCGGGUAUUAAAAGGUUGGAAAGAACAAAUAAUAAAUUAAAGGUGCUGUACCUGAUUUUGAAAUAUUUUUUAGGCUGUAAAUAAUUAUUGCCAACCUUUAGCAUCAGGAAUACAGAAAAAUUUGCACUGAGAAAAGGCAUGGGAACAAAGAAAAUAGAAGAGUAAAGCAAAGUUUCUAGACUUCAGGCCACUUGCCAGCUACUUCUCACAUCAACUUUCAGUUCUGCUGCUUGCUUUGACUGUAGCAAAAAGAUAAACAUUUUCUUGUUGCAAGUUAACAAACACUGCCAUGCGUGACAAGUUGAUAAGGGGUAUUACGGGUUGUAUCAGGAGUUUAUUAGUUCAUUUGAGCAAGAGAUAAACAUGGUAGAAAGUUCUGAUGUGCUGCUGAAAAAUUAAAAAUAACUAGUCAAUGCCAAAAACAGUUCAGCUGAAAAAAAGGUUUCUAUUCUUAGUGACUAGAGCUUACAUUGCUAUAGACAAUUUUUCCUUCUGUUUGUAGUAAAUUCCUCAAUGUGUCUGCCUCCUUUGCAAACUUACACCACUGCUGAGUCUGUAUUUUCAGGUGGUACAGAUAUAGCAGUCUGAAUUCUACACUCAGAAGGAACUCAAAGUCAUGGCACAACAGGCAGAAUUUGGUUUAGUGAUUUAGUCACUUCUGCUUGGCGUCUUUUGACAUUAACUACAGAUGUUGAGAUCCUGUCUCUCUGUUUUUGUCUGUUGUAGUUAUUGAAAACUAAAUACAGUGCAUUUAAGUAUCCUUUGAUUUAGCAUUUGCCUAAUUAAAUUCUUGCCUGAUUAUUUUUCUACAUGCCUUACAACAAACUGAUAGCGUUUGACUCUUGAUAUUUUCACCAAAUUUUUAUUUGAACUAAGAUCUGCCAAAACAAAUAUUAAAAAUCCUGCCAUAUGUCCCAAAUGUCACUUUUAGUUUUCUUUUUGUAAGGCAAUGCAGUAUAAUAUAAACAAGGACAAACAAAGAGAUAACACAGUGAUGUAGGAUCAGAGUUUUCUGGCAAAACCUGGAUGUGUGUAUAUUAACCACAGAUAAUAAAAACAUAAGUAAAAAGGUUUUCCUAGAUCGCAGGAAGAGACCUAUAUCCUGCACUGAAAUUACUUUUUGUAUCUUUUAUUUUAUUUAAAACUUAUUUUUGAAAAUUUUGGGUUUUUUUUUUCCCUUACUAAAGUAAGUACUUUAAAGUAAGUACUAUUCUAUAGUCCCUUUCCCCCACUAAGACAGACUUUAAGGCACCGUUGAUAUUUGUGGUAUGCCAGUUUUUAUGGCUCUAGAGAAAUAAUAAUAACACAUUUAGGAGAAAAUUCUGACAUUUUGUCUGGCAAAUGUUGUUACACUUUGUCAAAGGCACAAGAACUUAUUUUAAUAUCCUGUCUCACAAUAUGGGGUAAAAAGGACAAGAAAAUUAGAAGAUCAAAUGUACACUUUAGCAAGAUGUGAUCAGUGACCAGUCAGGUAAUAUUUUCAGUUAUUUGCAAGACUUAAAUGAUUCCCAGAUGCCUGAAGUAGGGCAAGGGUAAGGACUAGCAACUUCUGGAUUUGCUGGUUGCUUGGCACUGUGGAAUGUAGGUACCUUUGCCCAUUGUGUAAGAACGGUGUCCUUUGCCUUGGCUUCCCACUGGGAGCUCACUACUGAAUACACUGACAGUCUUUCAGGACUUCCUUCCUCCUUCACUGAGGGCACAGUCAUGGGAGGUGCAUGUGCAGGAUGUUUAUGGAAACGAAUAAAAAGUUUUACAGCAACUGAAUGCUCAUGAGAGAGUGUCACAUAUGCAGAUAUUUGGUGAAAGUAAACACACUCCUGUCUGUUUUGAAAGAGAAAGUGCAAGGGCUUUUCUUCCUCUAUUCUUAGACAUUGAAUUGCAUUCUGCUACAAGGCAGAAAUUAUUUAUGUGCAGAUGCUUGGCUUCCUUGAAAAUAUAAAGUUUUCUUGGUAGCUUAUUUAUCCAUCAUAUUAAUAUUAGUCAACUAGGGGUUACUAUUUUUGAAAUUUAACUACUCUGAGGCUAAUAGCACAGAAGUAUUGCUAUUGGCAUGUUAGAUAUUUUCAAUUUACUAAACAAGUUCAAUAUUUUAAUAAAUUAUUUAUCAUUCAGUUACUUAUGAAGUUCACAAAUUUAGUUGCUUAUUCUGGCUUCUUAUGAUUCUCCAGUCUAGAAUAUUAAAACUUUAGACAACAGACCAGACAGUGACAUGUACAUGUAAAUUCAGGUGUGGGAUAUGGCCUUCAUAAAACAGGACACUAAAAUUUGAGGUCUUUUGAUACAGGAGACCAUUCCACUAUUAAGCAACUGGUGCUAAAAGCAGUUCUAAGAUUCAGAACGUGAGAAGUCUUGGAAGAUGGUCUAUAAGAUGUACGUUUCAAUUUAAGUCUUUUGUGAAGUUAAAAGCUUCUUGCAGUGCAAUGAAAUUCCUCCAAAGUGUGUGGUAUUUAGCAGCAGCAGACCUUUGUGUUGUGACAAUCAGCAGAUCUCUGUUUUGUCAAAGUCUAUAUUGUGAUAAUCACCAAGUAACACAUCUUACAAAAUUACUGUACCUUGACUGUGGCAUGAAGCAAGCAAGCAAGGAUACCAAUGGAUCCUUAUGGGAAUUUAUGCAGGCCUGUGCCAUAAAUAGCAACCUGUGGGAAUGCAGGAACAAGAAGAAAUGUCCCAGAGGAGCUGACUGGCUGCCUACAGGAGCACCACACUGCUUAAAGAAUCAACUGUCCUCCAACUUCACACCAACUCAGCUGAGGGUAUUUCCUAAUAGGUCACAUAUGGAAAGCACAGAAAACAGACAGAUAGCAUUUGUAUUCUGAGGUUUAAGAAUAUUUUGCUUGGUCUGUACUGUAAGGAGCUAAUAAAAUGAAGAUAAAAUGGAAGAGAAUAUUAUUUGAUAACAUUUGUCAUAUAUUGAAUCUGCCAGAUUUAAUGUUUAGGGUAGAAUAAAGCUCAUUUAUCAUGAAAGAUCACUUCUCUAGUACUUUAGACUCAUUUUCCUGCCUAAAGCAGAUAUUUCUAUUUUUUUUACUUUUCAAAUUGGGUUCUAUUAGCUUAGGUAUGGUCUCACACUUCAUUGCAAAAUUAAUCUACAAAGGCACUUCAAGGACUCCUUCAUUUAAAACAAUAGGCCAGCAGUAUGUUCUUGUGGUUUUUGGAUUAUUUUUUGAGGAUGCAUAUUGGGAACAGGCCCUGAUUCUGAAACUCCUCAUUUCAGAAUGUGUUGUAGGGAAUUCUGUUUAUUUGGAUGUGGAGAAACUGUUCUGAAGUAAUGGCUCUGAGGUGGUGCAGCAGGAGCACUGCACAGGAAUUCAUCCAUCUGGUGUUUAUCUUUGCUCAGAUAAUGCACCUAAUCUGCUCUUACAUCAUGUAUUCCAGCUGUGAUUAGAAUUACAUAGAGUUCCUUCUGAAUUUUAAAAAUAAUAUAGUAUGAAUUAAGAAACCUCACAGAUUGUUAUGAAACAGACAUAAAUCUUGCAAUAUAUAAAUUGCAAUAAAUAAAUAGCACCUUUGAUGCAAAGGUGCUACUUAGUUGUACUUGUAGCCUUACCUUGUACAAAUAUCAUUUGAUCCUCUACAUUUAAAACUGUACAUUUCCAUAUUGAAAUUGUUUUAGUAAGAGAUGUGUUAGUUAGGCAUUGCUAAACACAUAUUAUGUUCUUGAGUAAUAAUUCAGUCUUUAUUACUGCAGUAAAAGAGCUCCAAGCCACAAGGAUUGGGUAGCAAAGAGGAUCUUCCCGAAUCCAUGCAACCCAAGUACUGUCAGAAUCAUUCUUCUAAGUAUGUGCUGCUUCAGUAUGUGGUUUUUAAUCAUUAAAAAGUGCAGUCUUUUGUAACUUGAAGAUAAGGACUUUAAUGAGAAUUUUUGUGAAUGUAUUACUUUCCUGUUAUAAUACUUGGAACGCUUUGUUAAUCCUAUGUGCCCUAAAUCAGGACAUCCUAGUAAAGCAGUAAAUGGAAUGUAAAGAUGAAUGGAACUGAAAGAACGUCCUCUUCUAUGGAAAGAAAAUACUACAGAGCUGAAUGAUUUACAGCCAUAUGGAUUGUUAGCCAAGAUCUAAAUGUAAGUGAUUAAAAUAAUGAGCAAACAUUUCAGAAUGCAGGUAAUGUAUUGUACUUGGUUCUAUCUCACAGCAACAAAUUAUCACUUAAGGACCAAGACCUAACCAGUACCUAUUUAGUUAUAUAUAGCUAUAUAUACACAUUUCUGGUUUCCUUUAGUAGAUGCAAAGGAAAUACUACCCCUCUUCCAUAAAACCCACAUUUUAAUGUUUUUAGGGUGACUUAAAAGCUUAACGCCCCUAAAGACUGUGUCUGAUUUUGUAGGUAAGUUCAGAUUCAGAGUUGAAUCUUUCAAAACUCAGCAAAUUCCUCUUUGAGUCUUACCUACCUUAGAUGCUUAUAAUGUGAGAGGAUAAAUAACUAUUUGACAGUACCAUUACUCUUCACUGAUAAACAGUCCUCUUGUUUAUCAUGAUCCCUAGAUUUUAGACACUCAUAGUAAGGAAGGAUUAUUUAUCCUUAAAGUCACUACGUUCCUUAGAGGAUUAAAAAAUGAAAAGUCAGCACAUCAUUUUUCUUACAUACAAGAUCAGAAGAAAUCCUGAAAAAAGGGAGUAUUCUAAUAUUGUCUCAUUGUGGCUGCUUAUUCUAUUUAUGACACCACUUUAUAAGCUGGACAAAUCUAUUCCUGCAACCUACAGAUACUCUGAAUGACAAAAUAAAAUUGAACAUGAAUAUAGAAAACAUCAUGCAUUUAUCAUGCAGAAAUAAUUUCCACUUAUAAACACAUUCUAAAUUGAACUAGACAAGGCUAAUAUCACAUAAAAAAUAAAGCAACUAGACAUUUAACUCACAGGAAGUAAUAUGAUCAAAGAUAAAGUCUAAAUGACAAAACAGUCAGUUAUUGUCUCGGUAAAAUUGUCACUAAGAUUUUUGUGUCAUUAUUAUCAUAUUUAUAAAACAUUCACAGUAUAAAAGUAUACAUUAAACACUGUGUUGUAAAAAUCCCUGUGGUAUUAGUCAAAAAACCCAGCAGAAACAGGAGUCUCUAUUACUUGACAUCUCUAAAAGGCUUUGAAAUCAGAAACUGAUCUGCACAACCAUAAGUUUAGCAUGCCUUUAAGUAAGUAGACUCAAAAGACCGUUUUGCUUCUAAUGAAAUACAACAAAAUAUUCUUUUGACAGAAAAUUCUGUUCUGAGUCCCUAUUUCUAUAUUUCAACCUAAAAAUCACUUUUAUAAAUUACAAGUGUCACAUAGAUCAGCGUGAAUUAAAAAAGAAAUCUCAAUUUAUGAAAAGAGUCUUGAUUUGAAUAAGCUGUUUUGCUUUUAAAUCAACUGGAAACCCAAACCAAAUUCCCUUUAACACCUUCAGUGUGUCUAAACUGAUUUUGGUUUCAUUUCAACAAAGCAAAUAGUACUGGUGAUAGGCAAUGACAUGGAACUCAAGAGAUUUUGGUCGUGAUUCUUGCAGAAUCUGGAGAAUUAGUAAGUCUGAAGUAUGUGAAACCAGUACAACAGUGAAGGAUUUAUCCAGGCUAACAGUUUCAUGCCUAAUUAUAUACCAAACUGAAAAGUUUUUCUAUAUUCAUAAAACUAAAAUCCCAAUUCGUACAACCGUGCUGAACAGGAAGAGUUCCUCUCUUAUUAAAUGCAGAGUGAUUAAAUAUUGGAGACUAAAUGCUGGUUGAUAAAAAUGGCUGGUGCCUGUCCCAGAGGAGGCUCUCUCUGGAACACAGACUGAUAGCUGGAUUAACACGCUGAAUAAAUAAGGAUGAUGACCUUCUAGAUAUUACUACUGGCAAUUUUUUUGUACUCAUUCCUCUGGAAUACUCCUAUUGUUUUAGGAGGAAAGGACACAACAAAUCAACCAUAAAUCCUAUGCUUAAUUCCACAUUUAAACUGGCUCCUCUGCUGCAGCAGGAAUUGCCACUGUAAUGAGAAAUUGUGUGUGUGAGGGCAGCAUCCCACGGCUGUGUAUCUGUACUUUAUACCAAACACUGCCUGGGCUGGGGUGUGACCACAGGCAAGAAGGAGAUUGCUUGACUUUCUUAUAAAAAGGCAUGUUGCCUGAUAACUGGAAAAUUAUUUUUUCAUUAUUUCAGUAGCUGGACUAAAUAAAAAGCUGUUGUGAUGUAAUCCCAGAGAUGCAUCUCAGGUACUUGCUUUGAGCUGCAGAGCACUGUCAAAUGACUAGGAUAAUCCAGAAAUCAUCUAGGAAAACUCCAUUUUGUCCUUAAAACUUAGGUUCAGAAGUACUGCUUGUGAUUUAUUAUGGUGUCAUUUCACACUUUGCACAAGUAACUGAUUCCAUGUUUCAAUUAUACAAAUAUACAUUUUUGCUCAAUAUUUAUACUCUUCAUACAUACCCUUUAUUAAUAUAACUCUUACUCCCUAUCUUAGAAUGGUUUUAUACCUGUAGCAUAAAUUUUAUCCAUAAGCAAAUGAUAGAAUGAAUAAUGUAAAAAGCACAUUUUCAGUUCAGCCACCUUAAACAAUCACCUACAUGAAUCACUGGGGUUACUGACAGAGAACAAUGUAAUACAGUUUGCUGUAAGGUCUUUAAAUUCUUGGAUUGAAGUUUUCUGGCAAAACGUUCCCUAGCUUGAAUUAACUGUGAUAACCACUUAUUCACCAAAACAAAGAAGUAUACAUUAUACAUACACAAUUCCAUCAGAAUUCCUCAAGUCUUUACCAGCAUGGACAAAUUGUAAUGGAAAAACUUUAAAGGAUUUAGUGGAAAAGGCAGGCUCCAUUGUUAGCCUAAGAGUCUGUACUAAAAUUAAAUAGUUUAGUUAAAAUACAUAGGACAAGCCUUCAUAGUGCCCUCUGCACUCAGCUUGACUGCAGCCAAUACUGUUAAUCCUCUAAUGUCAUAAAUACUGUAGGAAAGACAUGCUAAUAAAAAAGACAGCACUGACACCAUUUAUCAUGUAUAGAAAUAUAUAAAUACUGCGAAAUCUCUCACUUUUACAAGAAAAUCAGCUUUACAACAGUUUUCUGAGAGAACUGACUAUAAUUUCACUGCAAAAAAUAUUUAUACUCUGAAAAUAAAAAUAUUUUUAAAUAACACAUGGCUUGAGUUAUCAUUGUUAUAUCUAUGUCAGAUUUUAAUGAAAGACUUAUGGAUGUGUUAUUAGUGUUCCUGCUAUCUGUUGUGUUUUUGGGAAGGUUUGAUUUAGUAUUGAAAUAUGCUCCAUUUGAAAAAUGCAUUUCAGCCUAAUUGUCAGAGCUUUGUAAACCUGGAUUGGUUUGAUAUCUAAAAUGCCUUAUAGCAGGGAAAAAUGGGGAUCUCCUAAUUAAGGCAAAUUACAAUGAGAUUAUUCAAAUCAACUACCGUUAACAAAAAUGCCCAAGUUACUUAUAGUUAGAAAAGGUUUAGAAAAUAGCUGUUCUCUGAUACAAGCCUGCUCCAGAGCUCUCUGUAGGGAACCCCACUCUGUUUGUGGAAUUUAAGGGAACUGGUGGAAUUUACAAUCUAUACAUCACAUUCCUAAAAUGUUGAUAAAGACUGAGUUUCAGUUACUUAUAUCAAAUUUUUAAAGGUUGUCAAAAUAAAUUCUGCAAAGCAAAACUCCGCAAAAUGCAGCAUUGGUUUUACAAUAAUCUCUAUUUUCCAGGUAUUUGUAAAAUUGCUCAGCACAUUUCCAAUUAUGAAAAAAUCCUUUAUAAUUUUGAGUUACGGAUAGUGGCAAUACUCAUAAAGAAGCAGACAAUAAGUAUAGUGGUGGUUUUGGCUCCAAAAUCUAAAUCCUAAACCUGUAUAACACUGUAGAAGUAGUUUUUAUUUAUGAUAUAUAAAUGUGUUAUUCUUCCCUGUGCAAAGUGUGCUUUUGCAAGAAGUCCUGUAAUCUUCAUUGAACAUAAUUCAGUGAUGGAACUCCAUAGAGGAACAGGACUGCUUGGAUACAAUGCCAUGCAGAACUGAGGAAUUUUUAUUCUUUUUAUUCAACAGAAAAUAAAUAAAGUACAUUUUGCUAUUGUUUUACAUUGCUUUUGGGAAAAUUAAAAUAUAUAAAUUUUGUCAUAAUCCUCAUUUUGCUUAUUCUUUUCUUAUGGGAAAAAUAUUCUAUUAUUUUAUUUGUUUAAAUAAAAAGUUAUUUAAAGCUGUGUUGAAAAGUGAGGUAAUUCGUGUCCAUACAAUGUCAGGAUUAUGUAUAUUCUGUAUAUUUAGAUAUUCACAAUUAAUAUAACUUUGGAAUAAAACAUGAAUGAAAUACUUUUUCUAAUACAAACUGUACAGAUUUUUGAAAGAUUAUAAAACCUUCAAGGGGGCACUUUUGUCUGGGGCAGACACCUUCUUGCACAUACAUUGAUUAUAGGAAUGGAUGCUAGUAAUUAAAAUAUCUCCAGCUAAUAGUACCAAAGAUACAAUUUAUAAUAGUAAUGGAAUUUGUUGUAUGUACUGCUAUGGAUUAUAUUUUUCAUUGUAUGACUUUUUUAUUUCAACCACAAUUCAACAGGAUGGCAAAGGAAGGUGUGAAUACAUGUAAAUGUGAGAUGUUGUGACUAAGCACAGGAGUGUAAUGAUGGGAAAUCUUUCCUACAAAUCAACUCUUUGCAUGAAGCUUUGAAUAUAUUUCCGCCACAGAGCUCAAACCAACCCCCUGAUGUAAUAUUAAAGUGAGUGGCCUCUCUGUGUAUGUCUCUUACAUCAUUGUUCCUUAUAACUGCUUUGUAUGAUACAAGACUGUACAGAAAAGAGUUUGCUGUGACCCCACUUCUGCAGUUCCCAAAAAAGCUACCACUGAAAUUCUCAAAUGCCUGCCAGAAAUUUCAGUAUUGGGAAGGGUAAGAAAUUUAUCAGCAUGGUUUUUAAAGAAGCCAAGAGCAUCUUCAGUUACUUACAGUGAUUACAUUUUUGCCUGCUGAUAUUCAUCUAUUCUUAAAAAGAAAUGAAGGCAAUAUGUGUUUUACUUUCAUCAUGCUUGUGACUGCAGAUUCCAGUUUAAAAAGUGAUGAUAGUUACAGCUUUUGUACUUUCAUUUUCCCCUUCAAUUUGUCAAAUGCAGUGAGAUGGAGCACUAAAAAAAAGGAGAGAAGAAUAGAGGUGGUGAGGCAUCUAAAUAUAACCAAGAUUGUUUAUGUCAAUGAGCUCUGCAAAAGGAUAGUGUAUUUAUGUGAUUGUCUUAGGGAGUUGGUUUGCAAUGCUCACUUAUACUGUGCAUCCCUUAUUGUUCAUAUUUCAAAGGGCUUUUUUUUUUUCCAAGGCUCUAAGCAUACAGAUCAAUAGUUAAAUUAUUAACUCAGUUGUGGAAAUUGAAGUAUUGAAGCUGACUGACUCUUCCAAGUCAAUAUUUACUACUAGAAGGAUUAGAUUUCAUGUCAUCCCUCCAAAUCUUACAUCCAGAAUUGUCCACCUACCACACUGUGACAAAUGUUGGUGUGUUUGGGUUUAAGCACUUAGUACCCAGGGAAGAACAAUCAGACAAAUGACUACAAAUUUCUUAAGGAUAACUCAGAUGUUGAACAUAAAACCCCCUCACAUUUCAUGUUACAAUUCUCCUCACUACCAUUUCUCAGGAAUGUUCUGAUUCAUCCCUGUGGAACACUAUAUGCUGCAGUUUAACUUUGUAUCUCUACAUGGUACCAGCAACGUGCCAAAACAACAAUUUCCCUACAGCCUGCGUAUUGCUCACUCCUAAACUAAACCAUCCUGUCUGCUCCCAUCCCUGCUGUCUGUCACAAUUAUGACUUUUUGUAAGAUAAGAAAAUCCCAUUUUUACCACUGGAAAGCCAGGCUGCUUAGGUCACAAGAUUCUCUUGGCUUAAUCCUUGCGAAUGAAUCAUGAACUUUCCCUAAUAAGUACCGGCAUUCUUCAGAUGAUCAAGCUAGCUUAUGAAGGCUUCCAGAGCUUUCCACAUUAAUUAUCACCAUGUUUAAAGGAUCCAAAGCAGCAGCUAAUUAAGAAUUAUUAAGACUAUAAAUUGUUUAUUCUUACUUUUUCUUUCUGUCCUCUAUUCCUCACUCUUAUGUGGGUUGAUAUUGUAAAUGGCAAUAAUACAAUUCAGUUAAAAGAAAACAACAUCUGAUAAGGAUUAUGAAAAAUAUAAAUUGAACUGAAAUUAAUGAUGUGACAAAUUGGUUGCUUUCUACACUAGAACAGGUCAAAAGUAAGCUACACAUGACCACAAUUUCAGUUCAGAAAAUUCACACUAAUUAUCAGAAAAUUGUAAGAUAACCAGACUAAUAGUAAGCCCCUACGCUGCAAAUAAAUGACUUACAGCUUCUGCAAAAGUUGCAGAAGCACACACACUAUUGAGAAGUCAUAGUAAAUACCAUGUUAUUAAAUAAGUAUUUUGUUAGAAAUAAAUAAGAUGAAGACUUUCAAAAGAAAAAAUAAACUAUUUCUUAACAUUUGAAAGUGGAAACAGAAUAUUCACUCUAGAUUCAGAGUACAGAGAAUUGUUGAAAUCAGUCUGGACUUCUAAGUACUUUCAAUCUGGUAAUGUGACAAUCCUGGGCACCUCAUGAAAAAAAUUAUAUUCUUGCACCAAAUUCAGAUACUAAGUCUAGUAAAAGUAGAACAAUUAAAAGCCUAGUCAGUUUAGCUACCAAAAAGAUGUAUUUUUUUUAUCUUUUACCAGGAUGAGCAUAUCUAAAUAAAGACUGGGUAAAUUCCUCAAACACUGUUUUAAGUGUAGCACAGCAUGACAGGAAAAAAGUGUAUUUUAUAUUUGGAAAAAAAAAAAAAAAGGAGAUUUGUACUUAGCUGGUAGUUAAUUAACAACAUGUAUAGGUGAAUCAAUUAUAUAUGUAUGAAUAACAGGAUACACCCAAGUCAUAGUCAUAAAUCCUUUGGGAACUUCUGUGAAGACAGUAAAUAUUUUUACAAUAGCAGUGAUUAAACCUGAAAAUGAAAGGAGAAAGCCCUGAAAGGAAAUCAGAAAUGAGUCAAAAUCAUUAGUGGUUACUCUCAUAUUUAUCAUCCAAAGUGAGUCAAAAUCAGCAGGCGUUACUCUCAUAUUUAUCAUUAUAUAAACUGUGUAAGAAUGCAGUCAAGAGGAAAAGAAGAAAUAAGAUGAAAAGAACAAAUCCAUCUUUAAUAUUCUUUCCAAAGAAAGAACACUUGAGAGGAGUACUGAAAUUUGAGAAUAGUACUACUAAAAGUAGCAUUAAAUAGAAAAUUCUUCUUUAAGCACUCAAAUGAGUUCUGAAAAAGAACUAAAACCAGUGGAAUAACAUUCCAGUUUGUUUUCCAGACAAAUCCUUUGAAAUCAAAUUCAGAUACUGUACGUAGAUAUUUACAAAUUUUUAAAAUGCACAAAAAUAUCAUAAAGGUUCCGUACAGCCCUUUUUUGAAGCAUAAUUCAGUGAUAUACUUGACCAAGUGACUAGCUAAACAUGAGUCUUGCUUCCAAGGACUUGCAUAAUUUAGCACCCAGGUUCAGGAAAUGACUCUAAGUAAUACCAGCCUGAUUCAAUAAACUAUUUGAAGACACAGGGUACUGGGCAUUGAAUUUAAUGUUUGCUAUGUCUAUAAUAGAAUAAACAGAAUCUUACUCCAGAAUGAAGGUGUCUCUGCAGAAAAAGAAACAUUUUCUAGUAACUGUUUUUCUGACAGAAUACAGUAUACAGAAAUCAGGCAGAAAAUAUAACAUCUCUGGGUAGAGAUCUAUGCCAUCCCUGUCUUAAAAAAACAUUAUUUGUUACGGAUAAGCUCAAGCCACUUAAGUAAGAGCUACACAGAGAUAAUCAACACUUCUGGUAAAAAACGUUCCUGUAUUUUUUCAGAUUUAGUGAAAAACACUGCAAAGCUUUAUAAACACUUCAUAGCAUCGUGCAAAAAUCUAAAUUAAAAUUUUACACUUCCACUUUGCUGAGUGUUUAGAGGUGAAGUUUAAAGUUCUCCAGAAGCUGUAUUAUUUGAUUGUUAAUUCUUUUUGUCCUGUUUCUCACUACCUCUGAAAAUAUUUUAGGUUUUCUUUUAUGGAAGGGUAAAAAAUGUGCAGAAACUGUUUCACAAUUCAUAUUAAAAAAAAAAACCCAACUCUAAAGCCAUGCUUUCAACAAAACACAGCAUAACAUCUUAAUCUAAUAAAGUACUGCCCUACUUUCUGAUUUGCAGACCUCAAAACAGGAAUUUAAAUAUUUUACUUUGGCACUAGGGCAAUUAUUUCCUAAAAAAAAAAAAAAAUUGAAAAAAAUUACCUUUCUUGGUACUCCUUCCAGUCCUAGAAACUGCAGAACCAGAAACUGUUUGGAGAUGUGACAAUGUACAUGAUGCAGAUCAGUAACAGGAGCCACAUUCAAUUACUGUUCUACAAUGGCAUUAAGUAAUUGGAAAGGACAACAGAAAAGAAACCUUUCCAAUGCUGGUUUUUCCUUUGGAUGAAAUGAGCUUGUGUAGAUUAUAAGGCCAGAGUACAGGCAUCCUAAGAAGAAUCUGUUUCUAUCUUCCAUAUACUGUACAAAUAGAAAAAUAAUGAUGUAUCUAAGCAAAGAUACUUUUUAUAUAUGAAGACCAAAUUAUUAAUAAAACUAUUUUGAGAUAGCUUUAAAAGCAACAAUGAAAAAAAAUAAAGGUAAGCAUAUAGGAAAAUGUGAGAUGGUUUUGAAUGCUAGACAGGUAUACAAAUUAUUUCCUAAAACUUCUAUCAGUUACUAUAACUGUGUCAUUCUUUGUGGCUCAUCUUUACCCAGAGUGCUCCAUCAUUGAUCCAGCGCAGAUUGUUGAUUAAUUCUUCACAUUCUCUGUGUAUGCCUAUAUUAAAGUAUUGAAAAGUAAAGCUAUUCAGGGCUUACACCAUCUUUCUUUUCAGUCAGUAGUUGCUUCUCUUAUUUGUUUUGUUUAAUCUCUCAAAAGGACAAGGGAAGGAUAACAAUAGAUUUUCUCUCAAAGAGUACUGCUCAUAAGAUAUGAUCUCUACUUCCAAGUAUUAAAUUCAACUUCAUAUAUGCAGUGAUCAAUAGAUAUGAACUUCAUGGGGCAGUAGGGUAGUAAGGCUACAUCAAUUAAACUCAACAAUAAGUCACAAGGACUGCUGGUGGCUGUUCUCUCUGCCCUAUAGGUUUUCUCUUGCUUGAUUUACCAGUAGAUUUACAUUAUAAACUUGAUUUUUUUCUUAGGCAUGUAAUAUAUUUUAAUAUAAAAGUUCAGCAAUGGCAACUGCAUCAGUUUAACAUUCAGCACUUAUCUCUUCUUCAUGAUCUUCAUUUAUCUACCUUAUUUUUUAUCAGAUAAUGCAUAUGUAUAUGCAUAGGAUUCUUACCACGUUACCUUACUGCUUAUGAUUUAAAAGCAAAUGAGUUAAUUUUUUCUUCAUAACAAAGAAUGCAGCAUGUUAUUUUUAUGUACCACUAGAAGAAAACUGAUAAAGAAGAAAUAAAGCAAGGAACAGAAAAACAAAGUGAGAAAUUAAAUCCAAGUUUCUAAUGCAGCAAUGUAAUGCCAAGAAACUGCUCCAGAGAAAAUUAGUAACUGCCAGCUUUUCUACCUGUUGCCAAGAAAAUGUUGCUGUGUUCACUGAUCCUGUAAUUAAGCUGAGUAUGUUCUGAAACAACUUCUUCUGAAUUGUGCCAUCUUCUGUGAAGGGGGAGGGAGCUUCAUUCUUAUAAUACACCAAUAGAAAGGUGGUUCUUCUCUAAAAAUUAGGUAGAAGAGCAAGCUUGGUUUAAACUUGUACACACAUUCUUUGAAGAGAAUAAAUAACAUUUGGAAAGAGAAAUCAUACUGUGUACAGACCUUUGGCGGGAAGCACAGGACUGUAAUCUGCAUCAUUCAAAAUACUCACAAGCAGGGCAAAAACUUUUAUUAGUUAUCCUUUAAUAUCCUGUAAAAACAGCAGUCUUGCUGACUUCUGCUGUUUUAUCUAUAUUUUAAAAUGUGAGUUAUUAAUUGUCAUGUCUUGUAGCAGUUUCUUGCUAGGAUUUUAAUGUUUAAGUUACUGCAAUUACCCAUGCCAUUCAAGGUAUUUGUAUACAAGUAUGUCAAUAAGCCAGAUCAUACCAGUAUA